GGCUUAGAAGCAGCCACUCAUUAAAAGAGUGCGUAAUAGCUCACUGGUCGAGUGACCCUGCGCCGAAAAUUCAACGGGGCUAAAAUCUAUACCGAAGCUUGGGCUGCAAUUGAAAGAUUGCGGGGUAGGGGAGCGUCGUAUAAGAGGAGAAGUCAUAGCGGAAGCGAUGGUGGAUUUUAUACGAGUGAGAAUGCCGGAAUGAGUAGCGAGAAUUAUGUGAGAAUCAUAAUGGCCGAAAAUCUAAGGUUUUAGGAGGAAGGUUCGUCCGCUCCUAGUAAGCCGGGAGCUAAGGCGAGGCGGAAACGCGUAGCCGAUGCACAUACGGUAGAAAUUCCGUAGCCUCUGAAAGAUUUAAGCACAAGGACACUUGAGAAGCGUUUAUCCGGGAGUUGGUAUUCCCGGUCGUAAGGGACCCCGAAUGGGGGAAGUAAAUGUGGAUUGAGGCAAGAAAAGUUGUGUGAAUAUCUGAAGAGCCCGUACCGCAAACCGACACAGGUAGAUAGGAAGAGAAUUCUAAGGCCAACGGGAGAAGGGUUGUUAAGGAACUCGGCAAGUUGACUCCGUAACUUAGGGAGAAGGAGUGCUCGAAAGAGCCGCAGAGAAUAGGCCCAAGCGACUGUUUAGCAAAAACACAGCUCUAUGCUAAAUCGAAAGAUGACGUAUAUGGGGUGACACCUGCCCGGUGCUGGAAGGUUAAGAGGAGAAGUGAGAGCUUUGAAUCGAAGCCCCAGUAAACGGCGGCCGUAACUAUAACGGUCCUAAGGUAGCGAAAUUCCUUGUCAGGUAAGUUCUGACCCGCACGAAUGGUGUAACGAUUUGGGCACUGUCUCAACAACCCGCCCGGCGAAAUUGUAGUACCGGUGAAGAUGCCGGUUACCCGCGACUAGACGGAAAGACCCCAUGGAGCUUCACUGUAGCUUAAUAUUGGAUUUUGGUAUUUCAUGUACAGGAUAGGUGGGAGACUGAGAAGCAAAGGCGUCAGCUUUUGUGGAGUCGCUGUUGGGAUACCACUCUUGAAGUGCUGAAAUUCUAACCUGCGCCCUUGAAUCAGGGCGGGGGACAUUGUUAGGUGGGCAGUUUGACUGGGGCGGUCGCCUCCAAAAAGGUAACGGAGGCGCUCAAAGGUUCGCUCAGCAUGGAUGGAAACCAUGCCAGAGAGUGUAAACGCAAAAGCGAGCCUAACUGCGAGACUGACGGGUCGAGCAGUAACGAAAGUUGGAGUUAGUGAUCCGGCGGUAUGUGAGUGGAAAUGCCGUCGCUCAACGGAUAAAAGCUACCCUGGGGAUAACAGGCUGAUCUCCCCCAAGAGUCCACAUCGACGGGGAGGUUUGGCACCUCGAUGUCGGCUCAUCGCAUCCUGGGGCUGAAUUCGGUCCCAAGGGUUUGGCUGUUCGCCAAUUAAAGCGGUACGCGAGCUGGGUUCAGAACGUCGUGAGACAGUUCGGUCCCUAUCUGUCGUGGGCGAAGGAUAUUUGAAAGGAGCUGUCCCUAGUACGAGAGGACCGGGAUGGACGCACCUCUGGUGUACCAGUUGUCACGCCAGUGGCACAGCUGGGCAGCUAAGUGCGGAACGGAUAAACGCUGAAGGCAUCUAAGCGUGAAGCCGGCCUUAAGAUAAGAUAUCCCAUUACGUAAGUAAGUAAGACCCCUCAAAGACUAUGAGGUUGAUAGGUCUGAGGUGUAAGCAUGGCGACAUGUUAAGCCAGCGGAUACUAAUAGGUCGAGGGCUUUUCCU
rnacentral:rRNA from 1 species